rnacentral:rRNA from 1 species
AGAACGAACGCUGGCGGCAGGCUUAACACAUGCAAGUCGAACGCCCCGCAAGGGGGAGUGGCAGACGGGUGAGUAACGCGUGGGAACCUACCCAAUUCUACGGAACAACUGAGGGAAACUUCAGCUAAUACCGUAUACGCCCGAUAGGGGAAAGAUUUAUCGGAGUUGGAUGGGCCCGCGUUGGAUUAGCUAGUUGGUGGGUAAUGGCCUACCAAGGCGACGAUCCAUAGCUGGUCUGAGAGGAUGAUCAGCCACACUGGGACUGAGACACGGCCCAGACUCCGUACGGGGAGGCAGCAGGUGGGGAAUAUUGGACAAUGGGCGACAAGGCCUGAUCCGAGCCAUCGCCGCGUGAGUGAUGAAGGUCCUUAGGGUUAUAAGC